UUCAGAGUGCUUAACACUAACUGUAGCUGGAGGUAAUCGGAGUUGCUGGGGGACUGUAACCCUGAAAACUUGAAACACUGCUCUCUUUGUGAGGAGGACAGUCCUUGGAUUGUCAAACUUUCCUGGAGAUGUGAGAUGUGCCAAGCAGAGCUGGGCAGACCUGUGCUUCUAUGCAAUUGCAGGGGCAGAUUCUGCUUGCAGAACAUUGCAGAUGUGGUUCUGUGUGGUCUGAGAAUCUCAGCUGAUGGUCUCCUGAGGGUCUCUCUGUGCUGGCAGAAGGAAGAGUGUCACAUCUCCAGUCAAGAGCUGAAGUAUUGCAGGGCUGCUCUGCAGAGCAAGCACACAAGCAGCUCACCUUCUACUGGGAAAAACAGAACAAGUGCCAGAAAUUCCAGAGCAUCAUGUGUACUCUCCUCCACAUUCCACAGAAAAAUUCAAAACAACAAAACAAAACAAAACAACCCCUCCCCCCCAACACCCCCAACAACUAGGAAAAAGAAGAAUCAAUGCCACCCAAGAUAAAUGAUUUGGGUAGUUGGGGGAAAAGAGGGAGCAUAUGGACCUGUACUUCAGGCACUCCUGCAUGAAACAUCUUUCCAUAUUCCAAGUAAUAUCUAGUCCUGCCUAACAAGCUGCAUUCCAAGCAGGAGAGUGGGAAUUUUAUUGCAUAAGAGAUGAACUAAGUUUACAGCUAUUUUUCUGAGUUCCUUACAUUAUUUUCAUUAACAAUUUGUCUGUGUGGGGGAGUUGUUACAGAAGAAAUGCAGAGGGUGAAUUCAAAGUGUAAUGAUCAGUCUAUACUCAUUCCCAGUGUGGGUUAAACUGAGCACACAGGCAAAAUUUCACUAUGGAUUAAGAAUGUCCUCCUGAAGAGUUAGUACGCAAUAACUAUUCCAGGCUA